rnacentral:rRNA from 1 species
CCUAUGGGGGGCAGCAGGCGCGAAAACUUUACAAUGCAGGCAACUGUGAUAAGGGAACCCCGAGUGCCCGUAUGGACGGGCUGUUCAGGUGCUUAAAAACCACCUGGAGAAAGGGCCGGGCAAGACCGGUGCCAGCCGCCGCGGUAAUACCGGCGGCUCGAGUGGUGGCCACUAUUACUGGGCUUAAAGCGUCCGUAGCUUGGUCGUUAAGCCUCUGGGGAAAUCUUCCGGCUCAACCGGAAGGCGUCUCAGGGGAACUGGCGACCUAGGGAUCGGGAGAGGUGAGAGGUACUCUGGGGGUAGGAGUGAAAUCCUGUAAUCCUCAGGGGACCACCUGUGGCGAAGGCGUCUCACCAGAACGACUCCGACAGUGAGGGACGAAAGCUGGGGGAGCAAACCGGAUUAGAUACCCACGUAGUCC